CAGCCUCCUGCGGAAGAACACCAGAAUGACGUUCUGAACCAUGUUUACGGCCGCGCGGCGUCCGCCGAGAGCCGGAGCACAGAGCGCCGAGAUCCGCGCAUCCAAGCGCCGAAGCGCGCGCCUCUCCUCGCGUGCACACAGAGGCUCCCGUCGGCUUUACAACAUCCGAAACUCCACAUCGGGAAAAGGAGACCGCAAAGGAGCCGGCUCGGACGGGGGAGAAACUUUCCCAGAAGGUUCGCGGAGCUGAGACGCUGCAGCGGCGAGGAGCGUAAACGGAGCGGCGCGGUAACGGGAAAAAUUAACUGACUGACUGACUGAGGAGAGGCGCCUUAAUAUUUCAACUCACACAGAUAGAAGGGAGGAGACCAACCCCUCCGCACGCGGGGGCGCAUGCGCAGUCAUGCACAACUGACUACCACAGUGAAGGUAGGACCACUGGCACAAAGCAAUCCUACCCCCCUUCCCAUCCCCAUUGCUGAGAGUUCUCUGUUUACAUGCUCUCCUGCUAGCUUACAGCCCCUCACGCCCUCAACCUAACAAAACUGGCGAGCGAUAUUGGAACUAUCCAGGCGUUCAGUUGUGAGUCAGACACCAGCUCGGAUGAGGAGAACAAAGCCGGACGUGGAUCUAGUCAUCUACAAGUGGAUGCAUCAGAAUGGAGCGUAUUUUCCUAGUCACAAAUACAACAUUUUUCAAACGUCUUUUUUUCGUCUUUGUGUCCUUAGAGUUGAAAAAUGUGUAGAAUAUAAAAAAAUACAUUUAAAGUUA